CCUACGGGAGGCAGCAGUAGGGAAUCUUCCGCAAUGGACGCAAGUCUGACGGAGCGACGCCGCGUGAGUGAUGAAGGUCUUCGGAUCGUAAAACUCUGUUGUCAGGGAAGAACAAGUGCCGUUCGAAUAGGGCGGUACCUUGACGGUACCUAACCAGAAAGCCCCGGCUAACUACGUGCCAGCAGCCGCGGUAAU
rnacentral:rRNA from 1 species